GUUGUACAGCAUUCAGCAUCAUUGCAGUAUAGCUGCCCAUUAUAGAAAUAUACCUCAGUUGACUUAUUUUCCUUUCAGAGCAUUUACAAGUGACAAUGCUGGAACUUGGUGUCCCCUCCAGGAUGAGUCUGUGGGAUACUUGCGGGCCUGGUCCUCAUGAUGCAGAAGUCUCCGCUCACGUGGCUAGCUCUGGGAAGAAUACAGUGUUCAUCAGAAAAAUCUCAAGCAACAGUUUGGUGUAG
rnacentral:lncRNA from 1 species